rnacentral:rRNA from 1 species
UACGUAGGGUGCAAGCGUUGUCCGGAAUUAUUGGGCGUAAAGAGCUCGUAGGCGGUCUGUUGCGUCGGGAGUGAAAACUUACAGCUUAACUGUGAGCGUGCUUCCGAUACGGGCAGACUUGAGGUAUUCAGGGGAGAACGGAAUUCCUGGUGUAGCGGUGAAAUGCGCAGAUAUCAGGAGGAACACCGGUGGCGAAAGGCGGUUCUCUGGGAAUAUCCUGACGCUGAGGAGCGAAAGUGUGGGGAGCGAACAGG